rnacentral:lncRNA from 1 species
CAGACAUCGGUGGCCUUCGAAAGCUCUCAGGACAGGUGGCCUUCGGCGCCGAGGAAGAGCAAGGCCCCUGCGAACGCCGUGCGUCCUUCCCCGCGCGGUGCGCUCCAGCAUCCGGGGACAGCCAGGCUGUGCUCACCGCGCCAGGACGUCCAGGAGCGCGCCCGCCUGCACCUUCACGCCUCUCCGUUCCCCGAAGAGUCUCCGAGCUGGAGCCACAAGCCCCACCAUUCCUCCCAGAGUCUUCGACCCGAGUGCCGGAGGUCAGAAGUCUAAAAUCGAGGUGUCAGCGGGGCUGGUUCCUUCUGGAGCUUCAGAGGAGAGUCUGUUUCCAGGCCUUCCCAGUUUCUCGAGGCUGCCCACGUUCCCGGGCUCCUGCCCUUUCCUCCCAUCACGCCAACAUCUUGCUUCCAUGGUCAUCGUAUCUUCUGUCAUCAGAUCUCCCUCUGCCUCCCUCUUAUAAGGACCUUAGAUUACAUUGAGCCCACCUGGAUAAUCGAGGAUAAUCUCCCCAUCUCAAGAUCCUUGACUUAAUCACAUCUGGAAAGUCCCUUUUGCCCUAUAGGGCAACACUCACAGGCUCUAGGGAUGAGGGCCUGGAGAUGGUUGGGCGUUACUGAGCCAGCCAUGGUUCCCCCAAGACUUUGACCUGCUAAUUCUUCUGCCUGGACAGCCUUUCUGCCCAAGAUCUGCUUAAGAGGCUCCUUCACAGCUACUGUGUAAAUUUGGGCAAUUUGCUUAACCUCUUGCACUUCAGUCUCCUCAUGUGGAAUGUGAGGAUAAUAAUAGAUCCAGCUUAUUAUGUUUUUGUGUAGAUGAAGUGAGUUAAUAUAUGGAAAACACUUGGAGCAGCACCUGGAAUAUUAUAAGCAGUCCAAAAUAACUAGCCUUUUGUUGUUGUUGUGAUCAUUGUUGCUUUUGUCACCUAGGUCUCUAUUCCAAUGUCAGCUCUGCAAAAAUAUCUUUCCUGGCUACCCUCUCUAAAGUAAUCCCUCUAGUAAUUCUCUACGUAUCUCUUUGUUUCAUUUUUUUUUUCAUAGCAAUGGUCACAAUCUCACGUUAUCCAUAUGUGGUGUAUACUUAUUUACUCUAUUUACUUAUUGUUUUUCAUCUGCUUCCUCCACUAGAAUGUAAGCUCCAUGUCUCACUUAUCACUGAUUCCCCAGCACCCAGCAUGAUGCUUGGCACAUAGUGGGCCCACAGUAAACAUCUAUUGAAUGAACAAAUCAAACUCCCAGCCCUGCAUUGUCCAAUAGAGCAGCCACUAGCCACACAUGACCACUGAGCCCUUGAAAUGCGGCUGUUCCAAACUGAGAUGUGGCGGAAGUGCACAAUGCACAUCAAAUGUAGAAAUCUCGUUAAUGAUUUUCAUAUUGUUUACAUGUUAAAAUGAUAAUAAUUUGGAUACAUUGGGUUAAAUAAAAUAUAUAAACAUCAAUUCCAGCUGUUUCUUUUUACUUUUUAAUACUGGUACUAAAAAAAUUAAAACUGCACAUGUGAUUCAGAUUACAUUUCUGCUGGAUGGCACUGCCCCAGAAAGCCCUUAUCACGUGUGCUCUAAAGUUCAACUGUCUGGGUUUGAAUCCUCGAUCCACCAUUUACUAGCUGUGUGACCAUAGGCAGGUUACUUACUUCUUUCGAUAAAUUAACAUUUACAUUAUGAUCUACAUAAACUAUCAUUAGCCAAGUUCUAAAGAAGAACUUAUUUUUUGUCCUAGAAGUUCAGAGCUUUGUAAAUGUUUGCCAGCAGAAAAAAAGACUAAUAUGAAUCUGGAAAAAUCUGCU